rnacentral:rRNA from 1 species
CCUACGGGCGGCUGCAGUGAGGAAUAUUGGUCAAUGGACGCAACUCUGAACCAGCCAAGUCGCGUGCAGGAAGACGGCUCUAUGAGUUGUAAACUGCUUUUGUACGGGGGUAAACUCAGUCACGUGUGUCUUUUUGCAAGUACCGCAUGAAUAAGGACCGGCUAAUUCCGUGCCAGCAGCCGCGGUAAUACGGAGGGUUCAAGCGUUAUCCGGAUUUAUUGGGUUUAAAGGGUGCGUAGGCGGUCUCUUAAGUGAGAGGUGAAAUCCCGAGGCUCAACUGCGGAACUGCAGCGGGUACUGUGCGGCUAGAGAGUAGUGGCGGUAGGCGGAAUGUGUGGUGUAGCGGUGAAAUGCUUAGAUAUCAUACAGAACACCGAUUGCGAAGGCAGCUUACC